GCUACGAGUGGUCUAGUGGUUAGCACUCUCGUCUUUGAAACUAGCAACCCGGGUUCGACCCCCUCUCGGAUCA